rnacentral:rRNA from 1 species
AUUGAACGCUGGCGGCAGGCCUAACACAUGCAAGUCGAACGAGUGGCGGACGGGUGAGUAAUGCCUGUGAAUCUGCCCGAUGGAGGGGGAUAACUACUGGAAACGGUAGCUAAUACCGCAUACCAUCGGAUGUCCCCAGAUGGGCUUAGCUAGUAGGUGGGGUAACGGCACACCUAGGCGACGAACCCUAGCUGGUCUGAGAGGAUGACCAGCCACACUGGAACUGAGACACAGUCCAGACUCCGACGAGAGGCAGCAGUGGGGAAUAUUGCACAAUGGGCGCAAGCCUGAUGCAGCCAUGCCGCGUGUAUGAAGAAGGCCUUCGGGUUGUAAAGUACUUUCAUCGGGGAGGCGUUACCCGCAGAAGAAGCACCGGCUAACUCCGUGCCAGCAGCCGCGGUAAUUC